UACGAAGGGGGCUAGCGUUGCUCGGAAUGACUGGGCGUAAAGGGCGCGUAGGCGGUUCGUACAGUCAGGCGUGAAAGCCCCGGGCUCAACCUGGGAACCGCGCUUGAGACUGGAGAACUAGAGUUCGGGAGAGGAUGGUGGAAUUCCCAGUGUAGAGGUGAAAUUCGUAGAUAUUGGGAAGAACACCGAUGGCGAAGGCAGCCAUCUGGACCGACACUGACGCUGAGGCGCGAAAGCGUGGGGAGCAAACAGG
rnacentral:rRNA from 1 species